rnacentral:rRNA from 1 species
CCUACGGGGGACAGCAGUGGGGAAUAUUGCGCAAUGGGCGAAAGCCUGACGCAGCGACGCCGCGUGAGGGAUGAAGGUCUUCGGAUCGUAAACCUCUGUCAGCAGGGAAGAACGGUCACGGGGCUAAUCAGCAGUGAAUUGACGGUACCUGCAAAGGAAGCACCGGCUAACUCCGUGCCAGCAGCCGCGGUAAGACGGAGGGUGCGAGCGUUAAUCGGAAUUACUGGGCGUAAGGCGCUCGUAGGCGGUAUGUCAAGUCAAGGGUGAAAUCCCCGCGCUCAACGUGGGAACUGCCUUUGAAACUGGCACCCUGGAGUGUCUGAGAGGAUAUUGGAAUUCCAGGUGUAGCCGU